ACACGGCACAAGAUGGCCGGAGAGGCAGCAGCAAGCCCAGCUGUCAGGCGGUCUGCCGCGGCCCGUGGGCUCGCCGCUGCGCUGGGAGCGCUACCCCGGCGUCCUGGAGGGCUCUGGGAGAGCGGGGAGGCCGCGGCUGGGGCGAGGCGGCCGCGCGCGAUGUGGGAGCUCGCGGCCGGAGCGCCCGGGGAGGCCGGGCCCACGACGCCCGUGGCUCCGCUGCGGCAGCGGCGGUGCUGGUGUCGCGCGCGGCCGGGAGGCGGCUUCGCGCCGCGGGCGGGAGGCUGCGGCGGGCGACCCGUCCUGGACACGCGAGGAAGAGCGAGCCGAUGGCGGCAGGGGCCGCGCUUCGACCCGGUAACUUAGAAGAUGAUAAUUAAUGUGGUUGCUGAUAAUUCUGAAUAAAUACAGCUUUUAUCCCAGGUGUGCCAUUUUGAAGACUGAGACCAUAGAGUUCUAAGAAUAAAGGAAAGAGCCCUUGGGAAAUUAUUAUAUAUAGCAAAAAUGUGAAUCCUCAGAUGGAAUGAAAGGCCUGCACCAUAGACAUCGAAGCAUUUACACCCCGCUUGAAGAGUUUGAAAUGGACUUUACCACUGAGAAAUCAAGAUGGCAGCCCAUUAUGGGGAAUUGAGGAAAAUGGAUUAAUGCAAGAAUGCUGUAAUAUUAUACAACCAACACAGGAUUCUUUUAAUGUGGAUUCCAUGAAAUGAAUGAUUCUUACCCAACACAAAUGGACAGUGGAAUUUACUUCCUAAAGACUUGUUACAUGUCAUGUACAUUUUUGACAUCUGGAGAAGACUCUACAAUUCUACAAAUGGUAGUUUGUAUUCCUGGAAUUUCUUGCAGUUUGAUCUGAAGUGACCUUAUGGAAUGUUAACUUUAAUAAAAUCUCUAAAACUUAAAAAUUUCUCAGUUUGGGCCUUUUAUAAAUUUUUUCAGUGGACGUUUUCAUUAAAUGUUCAUUUUACCUUGAUAACAUUUUGACCUUUAUAGCUGCUGCUUUUCAUUAAAGUAUACUAAAUAAAGCUGGUAAAAUGGAAUGGUUUUGUUUGUUUGGGAUUUAUGUGUAUUAGAAAACCUGGAUUUUUCCCGUGAUUAAGUGGAAUGGUCCUUUGGUUAAAAUAGAUAUAUUCUCUCUCCCCCUUCCCCCUUUCUUCUAUUUAAAAAAAAAAUUAUUUUUAUUUAUUUUUUAUUUUUUCAGGACAGGGUUUCUCUGUGUAUCCUUGGCUGUCCUGCAACUCUGUCUGUAGACCAGCCAGGCCUGGAAUUUGCAGUGAUCUUCCUGCCUCUGCCUCCUGAGUGCUGGGAUUAAAGCUAUAUACACCCAGUUUGGCUGGCUUUUUAUUAUAGGGUUUGAAUAAAUUCCUUUGAGUUUGGGUCAUUUCAAAAUAUCUUGCAUUUUAAUCAUUGGGUAAUGGUAACUUUGAAUGUGUCAGGAGAUUAUAGUGAAUAUAUAAUAUAAAACAAAGUGCUGGUCUCAUUUCCUGUAUAGUCCAAGACAGUCUCAGUGUCUUUCAAUUUUUGUUGAUGAAAGUCGUCCUUUGCCAUGUGAAAUGCUCAUCUGAAUAUUUGAGUUAUACUAAUUUGUAUUGUAUUGUCUUAUAUUAGAGGUGUAUUUUUAAAGUCUUUGGGUAUACAUUAAAGGGCUUACCUAAUAUGACAGUGUAAUUUAUUUACAUUUGAAAAAAAUUCUUGUUUUUCUUGUUUUGUGCAGUUGGGAGUUUAAAUGAAUUAUACCAUGCUUUAGAUUGGUUACCCAUGGUUGAAAUCAAAUGCCAGAUUUUCAUUGAUUGCUACUUUGGUAAUAAAUUUGAUAAAGCAGUGAUGGGGACUUUGUUGACCAAAUGACGAUUGGUGGUGUUUUUCUCAGUAUAUAGAACAAAGAAUGAAAUAGUCUGUUAUUAAUGUAAACUACCUUAGAAUACACAUCUGUGGUUAAUACAGAUGCAGUGUUUGUUCUUUGGAUGAUGUGAGGUGGUUGAUAUUUGUAAAUUGAAAACUUGAGUUUUUGGAUUUUGAUGGAAAUAUGUUUGUAGACUUGAAACUGAUUUUUUACAUUUUCUUAGAUUUAACAUAAUUACGUUUGGUAGUGAAACUAAAAUGAAUUCGUUUGCUGGAGUGUCAUGGUUUUGACCAGUAGGGUUCAGUAAAGGAAUGUUUUUAGUUUUUUCGGCAUUUGUAUGUGGUUGGUUACUUGUGUGCAUGGGAGAGAAUACUUUGUUGCAUUUGUAAUUUUGUUUCUAUAGACCUCGUGCUUCCAUCUGGAGGGGGUUUGUCUUUGACAGUUGAUAAUUGGCUGGUAGAUGUGGCCUAUUUAAGUGGCGGUGAUUGAUGAAAUGUGAGUGUACUUAGAAUUCGAUUUCAAACAUGAGUGAAAGGGUUCUUUUGAUUUUGGAGUUGAGGUUGAGUGUUUGAUUUAAAGGUGACCAAGGUUGGUGUAAUUUCUUGAAUUCGAAGUUAUUAAUUAUGCCCAAAUAUAUGUAAGAAGUAAAUAUGUUUGAUGUGUGGCACUUCCAAGAUUAAUGGUUUACAAAGAAGUUUGUUUCUUCUGGGGGGGAAAAUGGUUGUAUUAACUUUUGCUCUACUGCAGUUGAACACUAGGGAGGCGCUCUUGAGUUGUAAAAAAUUACCCCUUCCUUCCAGUUGAGGUGGAAAAUUCCCCCUUAAUCUUUAGAUGUUUUUAGGCACCAUAAAGAAGGCAAGAGUUGAUUUAAUUUAUGGUGUUGAAAUGUUGCUUCUAUUUACAAGCCAUUUUACCCAUGGUGGGGUGUUAAUUAUUUUAAAGAUUAGUUCUUAAACUGAGCUUUAGAGUCUCUUGAAAUUAUCUUUAUUUCAAAAUGGCUUGAUAAAACUCCACUUCCUGUCCAGGGAGGAAGUUAUUUUAGCUCAAGGACUGAAAUAUUUAGCAGAUCUUUAGACAAAAGGAACAAAUUACAUUUCUCUCUGGCUUAAAAAGGGUGCUUGAGCCAGAGGGGGUUAAGAAGCCCUUCCCCCUCCCUCUGAUGGAGUGGUCUGGAGGGGCAGGGAGGUGUGGAGUUGGGGGUCUUCUGGCUCUCUUGGAUGGAGAAUCUGGUUCUUUUUCUUUCUUUCUUUCUUUUUUUUUUUUUUUUUUGGUGGAGAUGAAGGGGUGGGUCUAUGGUACAUCACCUGAGUUGUGGGGUAAAUGUAGAGAGUGUCAAUCAAAGGCAGAGCUCUCAGAGCUGGGAAGGAGGCUCUAGAUGGCGGCUGUGCCUUAGAGAGAGCGCGCUUUGCUCCCUGCUUCGGUUCACUUUACGCAACUUUCCCUAACUUUCGGGCAGCCUCAGGGGGCCCCCGCAGCCCCCUGCCUCUUCUAGUGACUUACUGGGGUCGAUCCGAACCUUUUUUUGGGAGAAAAGCUGCUUUUAGGAGCUUUCUUUUCGUGCCUUGUUGGAAGAAGCUGCCGUAUUGAGAGCCCAGGUCGUUGUUUUUUCCAGCUUAGAAGCCAUGGCGCACCUCCAUUUUUGUGCGCUCUCCUAAUGAGGUUUUUUUUUCCCCUUCCGGACCUGUUUUAGUAUUAAUUAUUGCUUUAUUUUUUGACAAGUCAACAUAUUUGAGGAUUAUUUCAUUUACUUUUUGUUUUUUAACGGAGAAUUUUGCGUUUUUAAAAAUUAUUUUGGAUCGGAUAUUUUUCUACUACUAGAUAGGACUCUUGCUUUGGACCUACUACAUGGAUCAGGUAAGUCCAUGAUAAUCAGUGAUAAUUUUAAAAAAAUUAAUGUUGAACUUGGCUUUAUUUACUGUAAAUAUGAGAAAUUCCUGGAUGACGCAAUAAGAUAGAGAGAUUGUUAUUUGUAUCCAGUGUGUUACUUUUGAGAAACUUUCCUUAUUGAUAGUGAUGCUUCUGUCGUUCAGUUUAUCCCCCUCUCAUUUUAAAACGGAAAAAUAGAAAUAUUUUGUUUUUCUGGUGUUUAUCGUUGUUGCAUUACAUGAAUAUCGCUAACAUCGUCAGGACUUUGUUCCUGAUAAUAAAACCAUCCGCAGAAGCUGGGACCUCACCUUUCUUUCAACUUUUGACAGUAAAUACCUGGGCACAGGACUUCAAAGCAAACACAGAUUCCCCCUCCCCCUUAAUAUUUAAGAAUUAAAAGAUGAUGAGAAAUAAGGACAAAAGCCAAGAGGAGGACAGUUCGCUACACAGCAAUGCAUCGAGGUAUGAGCUAUCAACUUUCUUUCUUUCUUUCUUUUUUUUUUUUUUUCGGGAAACCUCAGCUUACACUUGUUUACUUUGACAGACAUGGAUUGCUGUCUGUAUUUCAAGAAUUUUCUAACUUGGGUUGGUUUUUAAAGCGUGACCUUGAGAUUGCUAACAUGCCACACCCUGAUUUUUUGGUAUCAAUUUAUGAAAGUUGAGUUGUGACUUAAGGCCUCUUACAGCAUUCAGAAGGUAAUGUACUUUUCUCCGGAGGGGCCUUUCCUAGAAACUGUAGUUUUUCUGUCAGUAAAUUUUCAGGUUUUAGGUUUUCAUGCUGCAGAAAAAUGACCUUGUCUGUUUAGCCAUUGCUGCAUUGCACCAUUUUACAUACAAGGCAAAUUUUUUUCUUUGAAGAAUCUGGGAUAUUCAAACUUGUAACCGAGGGCCAUAGAGCAGCCUGGUAGUAGUAAAUUAUAGUAAAUAGACAUUUGAGAAAGUUAUAUGAAUGAAAAAAUGUACAUUUAAAAACACAAUCACAAAUAGGACCCCUUGACUGAUGCCUUUCAGUUUAUAUUUUUGAUUGUUUCUUUUGAUACACGUGACAAUUAAAAUUUUUUUUAUGACUUAUCAAAACCUUAAUAAAUAGUUCCUGAGAUCAUUAAAUCUGUAACCACAAAAAUUUUGGAAUGCUAUUAAUACUUAAGCUUUGUGUUUGUUACUAUGGCAAUGUAAUUGUAUUUUUUAUGCUUAAAAUAUUACAAGGUUUAUGUUUGUGUAUAUUAAGACAGUUCUUUCUGGUUGAUAAUAAUUGUAUUUUAUUUUAUCCUUAUGUUUUAGUUGGUGCUGCUUUAAAUGUAUCCAUUUAUUUUGACAGUGUCCUGUAAUGCUUUCUCUUCUGAAGCUUUUUAAUGUGCUGUUUGUUUAAAUCAUGAUUUCUCCUUCAUUCUUUGAAGUAGCUUAUCAGUGGCUGAAGUAAUAAAGCAUAUAAGAUAUUUUUUGUUGUAUGACUGUAUCUUUAUGUUAAUUUAAAAAUGUGAAUGCAUUUCUGGAUGUGUUCUUAAGAAUUGUCAUGUCAUAGUUUUAAAAUCAUGCAGCUAACAAGAAUGUGAUUGGUAUAUGAUCCAAUUUUGAUUUUACUUUAUAAUUUUACAUAAAAUUCUUGUUUAAAUUAGCUUUUAAAUUUUGAAGUGUGGAAUAUAGUUUUUUACAAAUUGAUGAGUUUACUCUUUACUAAAAAUAUUUUGAGCCUUGCGUUAAAAAAUACAUUUCCAAAUUUCUAUACAAAUUGAGUAGUUACAAUUUUGGAUCUCUUUUAAGUUGCUUUUGUCAUUACUGGGUCAAGGACAGAAAGCUUCUAAUGCAAGACGAAUUCUCUGGAAAGCCACAGUGUGAAGGCAUAGGAAGCUUCAAUGCAUUUGACAGUCAGGAAAGACCCAGAGUUAGACUUGUUACCCCCUUGAGUAUAUGAUUUGCAUAUUCUCACCAGGGUUUUGGCUUUCUUAUGCAAGGUUUUUUGUUUCAUUGAUCAGACUGCUCUAACUCUUGAAGUGAUGUCUUUGAAUAAACUUAGUAUUAUUUGGGUAAUAA
ensembl:processed_transcript 1810026B05Rik RIKEN cDNA 1810026B05 gene